CGCUCAGUGUCCGAAGUAAUGGUGUAAGUCUUUUAAACUUAUUAUAGCGUAGCUCUAAGCGU
rnacentral:tRNA from 1 species